GAAUCGGACCCUUUUAGUUGGGAAUUCAAUGGAAAUUCAUUUGACAGUGAUGAUGAUGAUGAGAUUAAUUCAGCUUGUUGUGAUCCUCCUGGACAUCCAAGUGUUUUCGACAUUGAUGAAGAUUUUGUCAAUCUCUCUCUUGGACCAAACCAAGAAAUGAUGGUUUUAAGAAGAUUAUAGGAUAUGUCAUAGAAUACGAAGACCCCACCACUGGAGGCAGGCUAAUGACUACCCAGUAGAUUAGUGUGUUUAUGAGGUGAAGGGAUUAAAACAGGACAAGGAAUACAACUUCCACAUACAGGCCAAGAAUCUUGAAGGUUUUUAAAUCAGUGAGUCUAGUGAUGUGAUUGGUCCCAUAACUCCCAAGCCCAAAUACACCAAGGUUUUGCCACCUGGUGUACCAGAGGCUGUCAACAAUUCUAUAACUUAUCUGAAAUGGGAACCACCUAAACAUAAUGGUGGCUGUAAAAUUACAGACUACCUUGUAGAAGAGAGGUUUAAGGGAACAGAGAAAUGAGUACCCCUGCACUGACCCCUCUUUACUGUCACCGAUCUUCCUCAGGACUCAGAGUGGGAGUUUAGAGUUACAGCUGAUAACUUUGCUGAAAACUGUGAGCCCAGUCUGUGCUCACCAGCAUACAAAAUCCAGGAGAAGAUUGAGUCUUUUGCAAUUGAGCAGGAUGAGGAAUCACAC